AUGAACGCUAGCGACAGGCUUAACACAUGCAAGUCGAGGGGCAGCGGGGGUAGCGAUACCCGCCGGCGACCGGCGCACGGGUGAGUAACGCGUAUGCAACUUGCCUAUCAGAGGGGGAUAACCCGGCGAAAGUCGGACUAAUACCGCAUGAAGCAGGGGCCCCGCAUGGGGAUAUUUGCUAAAGAUUCAUCGCUGAUAGAUAGGCAUGCGUUCCAUUAGGCAGUUGGCGGGGUAACGGCCCACCAAACCGACGAUGGAUAGGGGUUCUGAGAGGAAGGUCCCCCACAUUGGUACUGAGACACGGACCAAACUCCUACAGGAGGCAGCAGUGAGGAAUAUUGGUCAAUGGGCGUAAGCCUGAACCAGCCAAGUCGCGUGAGGGAUGAAGGUUCUAUGGAUCGUAAACCUCUUUUAUAAGGGAAUAAAGUGCGGGACGUGUCCCGUUUUGUAUGUACCUUAUGAAUAAGGAUCGGCUAACUCCGUGCCAGCAGCCGCGGUAAUACGGAGGAUCCGAGCGUUAUCCGGAUUUAUUGGGUUUAAAGGGUGCGUAGGCGGCCUUUUAAGUCAGCGGUGAAAGUCUGUGGCUCAACCAUAGAAUUGCCGUUGAAACUGGGGGGCUUGAGUAUGUUUGAGGCAGGCGGAAUGCGUGGUGUAGCGGUGAAAUGCAUAGAUAUCACGCCGAACCCCGAUUGCGAAGGCAGCCUGCCAAGCCAUUACUGACGCUGAUGCACGAAAGCGUGGGGAUCAAACAGGAUUAGAUACCCUGGUAGUCCACGCAGUAAACGAUGAUCACUAGCUGUUUGCGAUACACUGUAAGCGGCACAGCGAAAGCGUUAAGUGAUCCACCUGGGGAGUACGCCGGCAACGGUGAAACUCAAAGGAAUUGACGGGGGCCCGCACAAGCGGAGGAACAUGUGGUUUAAUUCGAUGAUACGCGAGGAACCUUACCCGGGUUUGAACGCAUUCGGACCGAGGUGGAAACACCUUUUCUAGCAAUAGCCGUUUGCGAGGUGCUGCAUGGUUGUCGUCAGCUCGUGCCGUGAGGUGUCGGCUUAAGUGCCAUAACGAGCGCAACCCUUGCCACUAGUUACUAACAGGUAAAGCUGAGGACUCUGGUGGGACUGCCAGCGUAAGCUGCGAGGAAGGCGGGGAUGACGUCAAAUCAGCACGGCCCUUACAUCCGGGGCGACACACGUGUUACAAUGGCGUGGACAAAGGGAGGCCACCUGGCGACAGGGAGCGAAUCCCCAAACCACGUCUCAGUUCGGAUCGGAGUCUGCAACCCGACUCCGUGAAGCUGGAUUCGCUAGUAAUCGCGCAUCAGCCAUGGCGCGGUGAAUACGUUCCCGGGCCUUGUACACACCGCCCGUCAAGCCAUGGGAGCCGGGGGUACCUGAAGUCCGUAACCGCGAGGAUCGGCCUAGGGUAAAACUGGUGACUGGGGCU
rnacentral:rRNA from 1 species